rnacentral:SRP_RNA from 1 species
GCUGGGUGCAGUGGCACGUGCCUGUAGUCCCAGCUACUCGGGAGGCUGAGGCGGGAGGAUUGCUUGAGCCCAGGAGUUCUGGGCUGUAGUGCACUAUGCCGAUCGGGUGUCCUCACUAAAUUUGGCAUCAAUAUGGUGACCUCCCAGGAGCGGGGGACCACCAGGUUGCCUAAGGAGGGGUGAACCGGCCCACGUCGGAAACAGAGCAAGUCAAAACUCCCGUGCUGAUCAGUAGUGGGAUCACGCCUGUGAAUAGCCACUGCACUCCAGCCUGGGCAACAGUGAGACCCCAUCUCU